UCAUUUAGAGGAAGUAAAAGUCAUAACAAGGUUUCUGUAGGUGAACCUGCAGAAGGAUCAUUAUUGAAUUGUUUAAAAAUGGGGAGUCGCUUUCGAGCACUCCUCUACAUUCUUUAUUCCUUAACACCUGUGAAUCGUUGCUGAGUCCGCUCAGUGGCACUUUUUUAUACACACACACACUAUCGUUUAGAACGUACAAACUUAUAAUAAAAUACAACUUUUGACAACGGAUCUCUUGGUUCUCCCAUCGAUGAAGAACGCAGCGAAAUGCGAUAAGUAAUGUGAAUUGCAGAAUUCAGUGAAUCAUCGAAUCUUUGAACGCACCUUGCGCUCCUUGGUAUUCCUUGGAGCAUGCCUGUUUGAGAGUCUUGAAUAUCUCUGCUUUUUUAUUUUUUAACAAAGAUAAAACGAGUCAGGUCCUUGGGCCUGCUUGCGGUUUGGUUACAAACACAAGCUUGCCUUAAAUGAAUUAGCUGGGCUUCAGCAGAGUUGUUAAGUAACAUUGAAAACUCUCGUAAGAAGAAGCCUGCUCUCUAAUCUCGUCCUUUAUGGCGAACUUUCUAUUUUGGCCUCAAAUCAGGUAGGACUACCCGCUGAACUUAAGCAUAUCAAUAAGCGGAGGA
rnacentral:rRNA from 1 species